rnacentral:rRNA from 1 species
GAUUGAACGCUGGCGGAAUGCUUUACACAUGCAAGUCGAACGGCAGCACGGGGGCAACCCUGGUGGCGAGUGGCGAACGGGUGAGUAAUAUAUCGGAACGUGCCCGAUCGUGGGGGAUAACGUAGCGAAAGUUACGCUAAUACCGCAUACGAUCUACGGAUGAAAGCGGGGGACCGUAAGGCCUCGCGCGAACGGAGCGGCCGAUAUCAGAUUAGGUAGUUGGUGGGGUAAAAGCCCACCAAGCCAACGAUCUGUAGCUGGUCUGAGAGGACGACCAGCCACACUGGGACUGAGACACGGCCCAGACUCCUACGGGAGGCAGCAGUGGGGAAUUUUGGACAAUGGGCGAAAGCCUGAUCCAGCCAUUCCGCGUGCAGGACGAAGGCCUUCGGGUUGUAAACUGCUUUUGUACGGAACGAAAAGGUUUCAGCUAAUACCUGGGACUCAUGACGGUACCGUAAGAAUAAGCACCGGCUAACUACGUGCCAGCAGCCGCGGUAAUACGUAGGGUGCGAGCGUUAAUCGGAAUUACUGGGCGUAAAGCGUGCGCAGGCGGUCUUGUAAGACAGAUGUGAAAUCCCCGGGCUCAACCUGGAACUGCAUUUGUGACUGCAAGGCUAGAGUGCGGCAGANGGGGAUGGAAUUCCGCGUGUAGCAGUGAAAUGCGUAGAUAUGCGGAGGAACACCGAUGGCGAANGCAAUCCCCUGGGCCUGCACUGACGCUCAUGCACGAAAGCGUGGGGAGCAAACAGGAUUAGAUACCCU